UACGAAGGGGGCUAGCGUUGUUCGGAUUUACUGGGCGUAAAGCGCACGUAGGCGGACUCUUAAGUCGGGGGUGAAAUCCUGGAGCUCAACUCCAGAACUGCCUUUGAUACUGGGAGUCUCGAGUUCGAGAGAGGUGAGUGGAACUGCGAGUGUAGAGGUGAAAUUCGUAGAUAUUCGGAGGAACACCAGUGGCGAAGGCGGCUCACUGGCUCGAUACUGACGCUGAGGUGCGAAAGCGUGGGGAGCAAACAGG
rnacentral:rRNA from 1 species